rnacentral:rRNA from 1 species
AGAGUUUGAUCCUGGCUCAGAACGAACGCUGGCGGCGUGCCUAACACAUGCAAGUCUGACGGGUGCGGAGAGAUUCGCAUCAGUGGCGGACGGGUGAGAAGAGCAUGGGGAAUGUGCCUUGUGGAAGGGGACAACUACUUGAAAAGGUAGCUAAUACCGUAUGAGUAGCUUCUGGGAAGUGCAGAAGCUAGAAAGGUGGG